UACGUAGGGUGCAAGCGUUGUCCGGAAUUAUUGGGCGUAAAGAGCUCGUAGGCGGUUUGUUGCGUCGGCUGUGAAAUCCCGAGGCUCAACCUCGGGUCUGCAGUCGAUACGAGCAAACUAGAGUGUUGCAGGGGGAGACUGGAAUUCCUGGUGUAGCGGUGAAAUGCGCAGAUAUCAGGAGGAACACCGGUGGCGAAGGCGGGGUCUCUGGGCAACAACUGACGCUGGAGGAGCGAAAGCCGUGGGGAGCGAACAGG
rnacentral:rRNA from 1 species